UACGGAGGGUGCAAGCGUUGUCCGGAAUUAUUGGGCGUAAAGAGCUUGUAGGCGGUUUGUCGCGUCUGCUGUGAAAUUUCGGGGCUCAACCCCGAACUUGCAGUGGGUACGGGCAGACUAGAGUGUGGUAGGGGAGACUGGAAUUCCUGGUGUAGCGGUGAAAUGCGCAGAUAUCAGGAGGAACACCGAUGGCGAAGGCAGGUCUCUGGGCCACUACUGACGCUGAGAAGCGAAAGCAUGGGGAGCGAACAGG
rnacentral:rRNA from 1 species